UAGCAACAAAAGUAUUAAAGGUCCUGCCUGCCCAGUGAAAAUUUUUAAACGGCCGCGGUAUUCUAACCGUGCAAAGGUAGCGUAAUCACUUGUCUUCCAAAUAAAGACCCGUAUGAACGGCUAAAUGAGGACAAACCUGUCUCCUACAACCAAUCAGUGAAACUGAUCUCCCAGUCCAAAAGCUGGAAUAACAACAUUAGACGAGAAGACCCUGUGGAGCUUAAAAUAUACCUAGUAAAACUACAACUAGCACAAAAUUUUAAGUUGGGGCGACUUCGGAAAAAAACAAAACUUCCGAGCACAGAACCACCAAUUCUAAACCAAGGCAAACAGGCCGAAGAAAAAAUUGACCCAGUCCACACUGACCAACGAACCAAGUUACCCCAGGGAUAACAGCGCCAUCCUCUUCAAGAGUCCAUAUCGACAAGAGGGUUUACGACCUCGAUGUUGGAUCAGGGCACCCCAAUGGUGCAACCGCUAUUAAAGGUUCGUUUGUUCAACGAUUAACAGCC
rnacentral:rRNA from 1 species